rnacentral:lncRNA from 1 species
CAAAUGUUAGACAAACACGAGUGAUUGAGAUUGAAGAAAGACUGGAGUAGUUACUGUGGAGAAUGCAAAAGGAUGGUUAUUCAAGGUACAGGGACCCCGCUUCUCCUUGAUGGCAGGAUUGAUCAUCACAACCCUUUUCUGACAAUUGACCUAGGAGCACAGGAGGCAAAGAAUAAUUGACAGAAGGUAUAGAAUUACAACCUUGACAGCCAACAUUAUCUACAGAAGAAGGAGAAACAGGAAUUUCCUGCUGAGAUAAUUUACCACCUUCAGAGUAUAGACUUGUCUUCUAUUAAUCUAUAGAGGAAAGCUAUGCAUCCCUCCAGCAAACUAUGAAUAUGUCCAAAAAGUGUUUUCAGGUUGUUCUGUAUUUUUUUUCAACAUAUUAGCUGUCCAAGGGAAAAAGAUAGAAGCAGAGCCAUGAUAAGCAAAUGAAAAAAUUUAAAAAUAUAUAUUUAUAGUAACAAGGUCUAAAUUGGGAGAAUAUCUGGUUUUCCAAAAUGAAUACAAGGGACUCUAGAAAAAUAAUGAAAAACAUUCAACAAUAACAGUCAGCUGAUGGUAACUGAAAAUAUAUUAUACACAGGAUGUGAAAUCUUCAUGUAUGGACGAUCAGCUUUUUGUAUACACAGAUUUAGCAGGUCUUUUCACUACUGUAUUCUGAUUGCAGAAGGAAACCAUUCAGUCUUUCACCA